rnacentral:rRNA from 1 species
GACGAACGCUGGCGGCGUGCCUAAUACAUGCAAGUUGAGCGCUGAAGGUUGGUACUUGUACCAACUGGAUGAGCAGCGAACGGGUGAGUAACGCGUGGGGAAUCUGCCUUUGAGCGGGGGACAACAUUUGGAAACGAAUGCUAAUACCGCAUAAAAACUUUAAACACAAGUUUUAAGUUUGAAAGAUGCAAUUGCAUCACUCAAAGAUGAUCCCGCGUUGUAUUAGCUAGUUGGUGAGGUAAAGGCUCACCAAGGCGAUGAUACAUAGCCGACCUGAGAGGGUGAUCGGCCACAUUGGGACUGAGACACGGCCCAAACUCCUACGGGAGGCAGCAGUAGGGAAUCUUCGGCAAUGGACGAAAGUCUGACCGAGCAACGCCGCGUGAGUGAAGAAGGUUUUCGGAUCGUAAAACUCUGUUGGUAGGGAAGAACGUUGGUGAGGGUGGAAAGCUCAUCAAGUGACGGUAACUACCCAGAAAGGGACGGCUAACUACGUG